rnacentral:ncRNA from 1 species
UACCUGGUUGAUCCUGCCAGUAGUCAUAUGCUUGUCUCAAAGAUUAAGCCAUGCAAGUCUAAGUACGAGCUCUCGUACAGUGAAACUGCGAAUGGCUCAUUAAAUCAGUUAUGGUUCAUUUGAUCGUACAGUUUACUUGGAUAACUGUGGUAAUUCUAGAGCUAAUACAUGCGAGAAGCGCCGACCUCGCGGGAGGCGUGCAUUUAUCAGACCAAAAACCGGCCGCGUCUUCGGGCGCGUUCGCCUUGGUGACUCUGGAUAACUUUGCGGAUCGCACGGUCUAGCACCGGCGACGGA